AGAGCCACACUACCGGGGGCGUGGAGCUCCGGGAGCGGCCGGGGGUCGGGCAGCGACUCGGGGCGUGGCUAGGGUCCCGGCGGACGUGUCCGCGGGAUUCCGGCGUGUGGCGGACGGUGCAACUCGAGGGUUGCAGUUUCUUCCCUGCGGCCGUAGCAGAGCCCGGGAGGCGAAGCCAGCGUCCUGCUCCAGUCCCCCCAGCCUGCGGCGGCCCGCGUACGCAAACCCCUUCCACUGCCUGGAAGCCGACAGUACGGGGAGGGAGAGACUUGGUACCUUCGACACACUGGCAAAAUAAGGCGACUCAAACUCCGCAAAGCAAUAUCCAACCUGUUGGAAUAAAUACUUAAUAUUCAGCGGAAUAUUUUUUCAGCUCAAGUUUUUGAAACAUGGCGUGUUUUAAAGGGAUCCGUAGUUUUUUCGCUUAAGAAUUAUUCAUAUUGAACGAUAACUUUUGCACCAAAAGCAAGGACCCCGCGCGCUCGGGAAGUUACCUCUCCUGAAAUGAAGAGGAAAAAGAACUUGCUUAAUGUUUGCUGCCUCUGCGGGAUGGAGUGCUAAUUUUUUGAGAACCCGUUAGAUCAUAUAAUAAGUCAUAAAAUCUGAGUUUUAAUCUAAGUUCUAGGAUUUUCAGGGAAAACAAGUCCCCCAAAUGUUUGCUGUAAUAUAAUGACAACAUCAAUAAGCAAUAAAUAGCAAGGAUCAAAUUUAUGGCAAAAAGAAAUGGUCCUAAAAGGUUCUACAUUAUAAUUAGUGUCUGGAGCCAGACCCCAUUCCCCGCAUAUGAUUUGCAUAAUUGCAUACGUUUGUGAGGGGUUAGGCCUUACUCAACUACUUGAUAUAGGUUGAUUCUUAUAAAAUGGAAUAAAAAAUGAAUCAUUGGU